rnacentral:rRNA from 1 species
AGAUUGAACGCUGGCGGCAUGCCUAACACAUGCAAGUCGAACGGUAACAGGUCUUCGGAUGCUGACGAGUGGCGGACGGGUGAGUAAUGCGUAGGAAUCUGUCUUUUAGUGGGGGACAACCCAGGGAAACUUGGGCUAAUACCGCAUGAGCCCUGAGGGGGAAAGCGGGGGAUCUUCGGACCUCGCGCUAAGAGAGGAGCCUACGUCCGAUUAGCUAGUUGGCGGGGUAAAGGCCCACCAAGGCGACGAUCAGUAGCUGGUCUGAGAGGACGACCAGCCACACUGGGACUGAGACACGGCCCAGACUCCUACGGGAGGCAGCAGUGGGGAAUUUUUCGCAAUGGGGGCAACCCUGACGAAGCAAUGCCGCGUGGAUGAAGAAGGCCUUCGGGUUGUAAGGUCCUUUCGUGGGGGACGAAAAGGUGGUUCCUAAUACGAGCUACUGUUGACGUGAACCCAAGAAGAAGCACCGGCUAACUCCGUGCCAGCAGCCGCGGUAAUACGGGGGGUGCAAGCGU